AUAGCCCAAAAAACAAGACACAAACCUAAAAAAGGCUUGAAACACUUAACUUUCAGUGUUAUUAAGCAGUUCAAACAAAAACUAUGCCAAAAUUGUGAAUUGACAAAUAAACCGGAUUAUUCGGGGAAAUAAUCUGGAUUAAAUUUAAAGUUCUUCAAAUUAGCUCAUAAGUUCUGAGCAGACUUAAAAUAAACUAUCAAAGCAAAGCAAAAGGUUUAGAGGCUCCAGAAAACUCCCCAAAGUCACAAACUAGAGAUAGCAGCUCAGAAAACCCAAACAGGAACCCAAAUUGGGCGAAAGAGUUCUCUACUGAGAGCAACUCAGUAAGCAAUAUUGGAGGCUGUUGCUAAGCAACCGCCAGACCCAGGAAAGCUGGUGCGAAAGGGAAGUGACUCCAAGCCGCUGCAGAAGCAAACACCAGGCUGUGGAAUUAAAGGGGCAGAGCAAGGAGGCGUCGUCAAACCGGUCCGGAGUCAAAGCAGGAAGAGCAGCGAUAAUCCACUUCAAGAGUGCAGGCAACACCAGGAGCCCAAGGAGCAAAGCAAAGAGAUGUUGUCAGGUCGGUCCAGGGUCAGAAAAGAAAGUAGCGACAGGGUUGGGAGGCAAGCCAGGAGUCGAGAGCAGUAGGUUGUAAUAGGAAUAUAUUUUCAUAACCUGUUAAGAUUAUGAUCCCAAUAUGGUUAAAUAUUAGUGCAGAGCAGUAAAAACGCAGAAGACUAGGGGUUUAUGUGAGCAGAGGUAAAAAGAAAUUAAACAAUAAGACAAACUAUCCAGCCUCCCUUUCCCUUUAAAAAGUCAUGCGCAUAAAAUAAGCAUCAGAGACAUAAAAUAAAAUAGCAAAAAUAUGUUUACUCACAAUCUUGUAUGAUGAUGGUCAUACAGGCAAAAACAUCUUAGUUCCAAAGAAAAACAGUUCAGGAAACUACGUAUCUCUUAACAGACAGGAACAUCAGCAUGGCAUGGUCAGGAGCGAAGAGGAAGAGACAGAUAGAGGCAUCUGUACAUCACUUCCUGUGUGUCCCCAGAAAGGAUACUCCCAUUUCCCAUUUCAUAUGCAAAACCCCCUAAAUGGUGUCAUCAACUCUGGAAUGCAGCUUGUCAGGUUACUAAGCAACAGACAUAACUAACUACAUAAACCAUCCCACAUUGAAAAUGCAUGCAUGAUUCCUUAGAUAACCCAACAGGUUGACACAAAUUAGAGAGCGACGCCAAGUAGCGUUUAGGAGCGAAGGCAGAAGCAGAGUCGAGUUCCAGUCUAAGGUCCAGGGGUUGUAGUCAUCAAUUCAAGGUUCACAAAAUGGGAUGGCACAGAGAGCCAACACAAUGAAGGCGAACAGCAGAUCUGAAGCAAAGUCCCAGUCCAGUCUUCAAUAACACAUACAGGAGUCCCAGUGGCGCCCAUCAACACCUUGCCACACGCAAAGUAAAGUGGCCAACCAUUCCCCAUUUAUCCAGGUCUCCCUGGGCGUCUAAACCACCAACGCCCAAAAAGCAGGUGUUCAAACUUCUUAAUCCGAAUCAGAACUCCACACAGCUAACACCCUUGGGUCAGGCGUUCCGAAUUCUUCAUCAGAGUCCCAAAAAUCCUGCCCACGCCCAGCUCCAUCCACACCUGUGGUUCCAUCCUCACUCCUCCAAGCAGAUCAAGUGGGGUCUGCUUCUGAAGAUACCCAAGCUUCCCCAGUGUCAGCAGUAUCCAUGGACCCCGAUUCCGCCCCAGGCAUCUCCGGUGCCCGUGCCCAGUCAGUGCCCACGUCCUCUGCCACCACCUGUUCCCCAGCAUCCAUUUCUUCCACAGACUCCACAUCUGAAUCCUCCUCAGAGGAUUCCCCAUCAACCUCCCUGAUCCUCUUCCUGUGCAAAUCCUCCAACCAGCCCUCCUCGCGAGGGUUUUUCCUUCCUCUCCUAAUCCCACCACUAUCAUUCACAGUCCCCGAAGGCACAGUCACAACAGAAGCCAUCCAUCCACUUUAGCAUUUUUCACAGGAAAAUUUCCAUUCCUCUUCAGCCACUGAUUGGGUGUUCUCCUAGAAGGAUCCAAAGAAAGACAAGCAUAGUGAAAAUGAGGAAUACCUCAUCCAAGUCAUGAUGCCGUCUGCCAAUGAGUCCUGCCCUUGUCUUUGGAUGCUAAAAGAAAUAAAUAAGCAUCCCUAAAUUGUGAUAUCUUUAUAAAUGUUGUUUUCAGUUAAGUAUCGCAAGUGCAAUCAACAGACAGGGGGAGAGGUUAGGUGGAUAAUGAGGGAGGGAAUUCUUUUUUAUGUUUUACCUUCUACAGCUUGCCCCCUUGUGAUGCUUUAAAUUAUUGUCUUUAAGGUUAAGGUUAAGGUUAAGGUUUUCCCCUGAUGUCAAGACCAGUCGUGACCGACUCUGGGAGUUGGUGCUCAUCUCCAUUUCUAAGCCGAAGAGCCGCCGUUGUCCAUAGACACCUCCAAGGUCAUGUGGCCAGCAUGACUGCAUGGAGCGCUGUUACCUUCCCGCCAGAGCGCAAGCCAAGAAUGGGCAACUUGGAAGUCCUUGAACAGACUCAGAAGUGAAGUGGGCAGAUCAAAAGAAAACCUGGCUAAAUGGCACUAUUUAAAAGAAUCCUCCACCUUGUACGACUGUGGAGCAGAACAGACAACUCUGCAUACGUAUGUUUGUCUACAAUGUCCUGCCUCAUGAACAGAGGAAGAAUUGUUUGAGGCUGCUUGUGCUCCUUCUAUUUUUAUCAGUUUUAUACUAAUUUAUGCAAUACUUUUAAUACGAAAUAAAUAAAUAAAUAAAUAAAUUUA